AAAGAUGAAGCGAAAUCACCAAAUUAGUUGCGACACAAAAUGGUGGCAAUACAUCCGUCUAUAAUAGCAGCAAGGCCAAAAUUUGGGAGGAAGAGCAAGCAUUUGGAAGCAUGGAUGAGUUAUUGGCCGUUUUGGGUUACGAAUUCAAGUCCUCCGACAUGGCUAAUCUCUUUGGCUGGCUCCAGAUCAUGCUCUCUGAACUCAACUCAAUUGACGACUCGUCAAACUCUCAAUAGUAGAAACAGAAGCAGAUUGAGACCCAAUCUCGGGUCAUUUAUGAUAACAACUCCGAGUACGAUCUCAGAGCCAUUGCUGGAUCCAAGGGUGAGAUUGGUGCACACACUCAUGGAAUGUGCUGAGGUUGUUCAGCAAGACAACUUGAAGGUAGUCGACACGCUCGUGAAGCAAGUAGGCACACUCGCCAUCUCCCAAACCGGCGCUAUGAGAAAGGUCGCCACUUACUUUGCAGAAGCCCUUCGCCGUCUCCCAAACUGGGUUUCUCUCAUUUUACCCCUCUGGUUCAUAAAGUAAGAAGCUUUGAUUAUGGUUUUGCUGUAAUGGGUUUCUCUGUUUCUAUGUUAGCAUCGUUGUUUCUUGUAUUGGACUUUUGAUUCUUGAUCUGGGUUUGAAGAAAGAGCCUCUAAUUUGAUGUGGGUGAUUGAACUAAAUUGAUGGGAAGCUAGCUAAAGAUGGGUUCUUUGGAGAUUGCUGACCGUCGCUGCCCAGUUCAGCACCGCCACAGUCGAUGUCGAAAACAGCUUCAUAGUACCCACUACUACUUGAAGAUCAAGAGGAAUUGGCUGUGGGGAUGAAGUGGUCAAGGAGAACUAGAUGAGGGGCUUCUGGGUUUCUGUACGAGAGAGAGAGAGCUCUCAAUUUUUUUUUUUUGAAAAAAUUGAAUUUAGCCUCAAAGGUCAUUUUGAGAAUUUCACCUUUCUUACAAGGUCAAAGGCUGAAAAGUGAGUCCGCAUGUCGGUUAGGGCUGUCAAUUUCGACUUGACCCGAUAACACGACUCGAAACCCGCAAGAUUAAAAAACGGGUCAGCGAUGGGUCAACCCGCCAUGACCCAUUUAAUAAAUGGGUCGGCCACGGGUUAACCUGCCAACACGAAGUGAACCCGUCUAACCCGAUUGUGCUAUGUUUCUUCUUGAAAUUUUGGACGUUAGGAGUAUUUGAUCAUAAUAUUAGACAAUUUGAAAUAUUUCGCUUUUUAAUUAUUAGAUUUAAUUAUUUAUGAAUUAUAUAUAAUUAUUUAUAUUCUUC